GGUCGGGUCCUAUGCGACGACGAAGUGGUGAACCCCGCCAGGCCCGGAAGGGAGCAACGGUAACCAAUCUUUGCGUGCGCCGUAGGGUGCCUGGCCUUU
rnacentral:SRP_RNA from 1 species